rnacentral:tRNA from 1 species
AAAGGGUUAGUUAAAUUAACUUUAGUAUGUCAUGCUAACAUUAAGAGUACACCCUCUUACCCUUUA